GAUGAACGCUGGCGGCGUGCCUAAUACAUGCAAGUCGAGCGAAUGGAUUAAGAGCUUGCUCUUAUGAAGUUAGCGGCGGACGGGUGAGUAACACGUGGGUAACCUGCCCAUAAGACUGGGAUAACUCCGGGAAACCGGGGCUAAUACCGGAUAACAUUUUGAACCGCAUGGUUCGAAAUUGAAAGGCGGCUUCGGCUGUCACUUAUGGAUGGACCCGCGUCGCAUUAGCUAGUUGGUGAGGUAACGGCUCACCAAGGCAACGAUGCGUAGCCGACCUGGGAGGGUGAUCGGCCACACUGGGACUGAGACACGGCCCAGAGUCCUACGGGAGGCAGCAGGAGGGAAUCUUCCGCAAUGGACGAAAGUCUGACGGAGCAACGCCGCGUGAGUGAUGAAGGCUUUCGGGUCGUAAAACUCUGUUGUUAGGGAAGAACAAGUGCUAGUUGAAUAAGCUGGCACCUUGACGGUACCUAACCAGAAAGCCACGGCUAACUACGUGCCAGCCGCCGCCGUAA
rnacentral:rRNA from 1 species